rnacentral:rRNA from 1 species
GACGAACGCUGGCGGCGUGCUUAACACAUGCAAGUCGAGCGGUAAGGCCCUUUCGGGGGUACGACGAGCGGCGAACGGGUAGAGUAACACGUGGGUGACCUCGCCCUCCAGCUCUGGGAGUAAGCCUGGGAAACGUAGGGUCGUAAUACUGGAUAUGACUCCACGGUGCAUGUCGUGGGGUGGGAAAGCCUUGUGCGGCUGAGGAUGGGCCCG